GAGCGUCUGCUAAGGGGGCCUACAUUUGAGUCAUUAUAAUAAUAUAUGUAUAGUGGACAACUCCAUAACCUGAAGAGCUAACACCCCUUUCCGUCAUAAUGUAGCGAUCCACUACUAUUACUGGUCGUUGCAAGCUGGGAUGUCGUCACAAGGUAAAAUAAAAAUUUAAUAGUAGGCAAACCUGUGUAACGCUGCACGUGUGGCAUUCUGAAAACUCCUCGGCACACCUGCAAAUCUUCGGCGGCACACAGUUUGAGAAACACUGCCCUAGACAAUAAUAAAUAUUGACUAUUCAAUCUGAUUCUACAUUUAUGUCAAACAAUAUUAUGAAUAUAGUAUAGAUGUCUAGAUAUGCUAACUUAAAUAGUUAGAAUAUAGAUCUAGAAUCUAGUCUAGAUUAGUUAUUAGUAGAUCUAGAUCUAAUCUAGGUCUAACAAUAAAAUUGAUUCGGAAUACCUUGAACUCAUCCUUUGUGAUUGUGUAAGCACUUUCAGUAGAACAAGAUUAUAAGUGAAGAGAUCUGGAUAACACAAGGAGGGCAGCAAAUCAUUUUCUUUAUUACGCUGGCUUGCUUUCAAAGUGUGGCGAUUUUAUUGUUUACCAUGGAGUUGUCUACUUUUCAAAUUUUACUGACCAAGUUUUUUACAGUGACUGAUCCAUCAGCAGUUUCCGAAGCAGUAACUGAUAUCUCAAAAAAAUAUUGCUUUGCUGAUGGUGUCUGGUCACCCUAGAGGAUCAACAGGAUUUGUUCAUUGAAAGACACUUGAAGAUGUAGGCAGUUAAAGCAAAAGGACUUCUUGCAAUGUUUGUUUCAAGGACCAGACACAAGAGAAUUCGACAACAUAUGUAUCAGAAGAUCAAAAUCAGAAACUGAAAUCUGCCCAUGUAGAGUGUCACCAGAGAAUGUUGACCAUCUCCUCCAAAAUUGCUCUCUUUACCAAGAGGCUGUACAUGACACUGGCCCCAAAACACCCCAAUAGAAAGAAAAGUGAUUUGGAAAUCACUGCAAAAAUAAUCUCAUAUACUGGUCCAGUCAUCUGAAUGCUCCAAUAAAAAAAUGAGAAGGAAGAAGAAAGAAGAUUGUAUGUACCAUUUUUGUUUGAGGAUGGGGAGAAAAGUGAUCUUAGAAUUCAAACACCAAAAGUAUGUGUCUUUAUGAAUUCAAUGUAAUUGAUACUGGGCUUUUUGGGCUGAAAAUAAAAUGCAAAAAAUUUUAUUGGAAUUGCAGAAAAAAAAAGAGUUUUUAGCCAAAAUAAACAAUGUAUAGCCUGAGAACAAAUCAGGGGGAAGAACCAAGGGUAAUGCUAGUAUACUAUAGAAGUAUCUUUUUUUAUCCUUGCAACUUCACUGAUGCAUAACAGUGUCACAAACUGUUUGUUAAUGUGAUAUGAAACAUAAUUUUUUUAUUUUUUUUGUUACACAUAUAAUCACUCUAAAAAAAUUAUUUCUAAAAUAGAUAACUGUCUCUAGUAACCUGCUAGUGGACCAUGACCAACCUUUUUCUAUCUUGCUUUGUAUGAUAUAAACUUUCCUAGAUUUGACUUUAAAUUGUUGUCCUAGACAUGUCUGUUAUGCUAUAGGCUACUUUUAAUUGCAUAUGUUAGACAAAAAUUGUGAAAACAAGAGUACAUAACAUUUUCUAAAGAAAUUUUCAAUAUUUUGCAUUUUGAGGGGAGCAACAUGGCUAUUGAAAAGCAGAGACCAUACAAACCUCAUUAGAUGAAGAGUUUUAUUUUGUUGGUAAAGUCCUUGGUUUUGAGCCAGCAGAGAAACAUAGAAAGCUCUGUUUUGACAAUAUAUAAAGAGUGACUUUAGCUCAACUCCUCACCAAGCUUUACAGUCUGUGACAUUUUUUUGGUAAAACUUUGAAUCAGAUUUAUGUGUGUAUACUUCAUUAUGUUAACUACAUGUAUCAAGAAUACUCAAUUCAUAAAAAGAAGCUGCUUUAAAGGAUUAAAGAUAACUUUGACCCUUUUGAGAAAACAAAUUUAAACACAAGAUUUUGAAUUAAUUUUGUAAUUCUUUUAUAUUUUUUUUUUCUGAAAGCCACAUAACGACACAGGUAUUUAUUCAAGGUUUUGAAUGUAUGGUAUACUGUUAGGUUUAGUAUUGAGUCAUUCAGUAAAUUGUUUUUGUUUUGUGGUUUUUAUAAAUUAAUAAAUGGAAGUUUAUAUAAUGUGUUAUGCUUAUAUGUAUGAUUUUUUUUACUGAUCUAAAGAAAGAAACUUGAGGAUUUUAAUUUUUAUUCCUUUUGAAACAUGUCAGGAAUAUUAGAACAUUGGUUGGCAACAUUAUUAGUGUAAAAAUGUAUUUCACUUGGUAGCCAAGAAUGCUUAUAACUGAGAUGACAUCACUAAUAGUGGUUAACAAGGGUGCCAUGUUGUCAGCACAAUAACCAACCGCCUUUACUUUUCCUAACUCAUAUAAUAAUAAUAAUAAUAAUAAUAAUCUUUAUUAUCCUUAAGGAAAUUUGUCUUACAAUUUGUGCAUUACACCAAACAAAAAACAUUAUAACUAUAAGAAACCAAAAUGUACAUUCACACCAGACUCACUCAUAAUUUACAUGUGACAAAGUUUAUACCAGAUUGUUCUUAUUUAAUGAUUUGAUUGCCAGGGGAACAAAAGAGUGUUUGUGUCUGUUUGUCUUUGCUAUCGGUGUCUUGUAUCUCUUUUGUGAUGGUAAAAUCACAAAAUCCUGACACAAAGGGUGAUUCUUUAUUUCGAGGAUCUUGUUGGCUUUUUUAUAGAUGUUUGUCUCAAACAACUGCCCAAAUGGGGUUUGUUUUUUGCCAAUGAUUUUGCCAGCAGCAUUUAGGAUUCUAUGAAGUUACCCAUUAGAGCUGGGUGGACUCGAAGGCACCAUAAAGAUCCCAAAAUUAAAAUACCCGUCUUCACUAGGAUUUGAACCCAGGGUCCUCCUGUUUGGAAGUCAAGUGCUUUACCACUCAUCCACAUGCCUCUGUUAAAGGCUAGAUUUUGUGACAAUUAUUUUUAGGAGAGAGAAUGAUGUAUGCACAAAGUUGUAGCUUUUUUUUUAUUUUUAUUAAAUUUAUUUGUAUUUAACCACUGACUUAUUAAUCUCUUGAAUUGUCAAAUUUAAGUUUGUAAUCAGUUAGUGUUGACCUUGGCUUGAUAGGCUAAAAGGAUUAACAAUAAUAAUAAUAAUAAUUAUAGCUUGUAUGUAGAGCUACUUUCAUGCUUACAGCAUGCUCAGAGUGCUGUGUUCCAAUCUUAUGUGUGGACCAGUAGGGGGGGGGGGGAUUUGGGAGAGGGUUUUCCGUGCUGCCUUCGGGUACUCAGUAAACAGAACUCUGCUUUAGUCGUGUGUUGAACCUAGAGUCACCUUGAUAGGUAGCCGAGCCAAGCCAAGUUCAAGCAUACUUAGCCUCUUGACCACGCCUCCACAUUGAAAUUAAAUUGUAAAUGUUAAAUAUUUUUAAAAAUUUAAUACAGAAUUUGAUAUUUAUGAAAUAUUUAAUACAGAAUUUGAUAUUGAUGAAAAAUUUAAUACAGAAUUUGAUAUUGAUUACAAAAAAUAAUACAGAAUUUGAUAUUGAUACCA